UCGGCAAUGGGCGAAAGCCUGACCGAGCGACGCCGCGUGUGGGAUGAAGGCCUUCGGGUUGUAAACCACUGUCAACGGGGAGGAAAUGCAGGGGGGUUCUCCCUUCUGUCUGACCUAUUCUAGGAGGAAGUACGGGCUAAGUUCGUGCCAGCAGCCGCGGUAAGGCGAACCGUACAAACGUUACUCGGAAUUACUGGGCUUAAAGGGUGCGUAGGCUGCGCGGAAAGUUGGGUGUGAAAGCCCUCAGCUCAACUGAGGAAUUGCACUCAAAACUACCGUGCUCGAGGGAGACAGAGGUAAGCGGAACUCAAGGUGGAGCGGUGAAAUGCGUUGAUAUCUUGAGGAACACCGGUGGCGAAGGCGGCUUACUGGGUCUCUUCUGACGCUGAGGCACGAAAGCUAAGGUAGCAAACGGGAUUAGAUACCCCGGUAGUCUUGGCUGUAAACGAUGAGCACUUGAUUGAAGGGUCCUCCAUAGCCUUUCAGUCGUAGCGAAAGUGUUAAGUGCUCCGCCUGGGGAGUAUGGUCGCAAGGCUGAAACUCAAAGAA
rnacentral:rRNA from 1 species